rnacentral:rRNA from 1 species
GACGAACGCUGGCGGCGUGCCUAACACAUGCAAGUCGAACGGAACUGUUUUGAAAGAUUUCUUCGGAAUGAAUUUGAUUUAGUUUAGUGGCGGACGGGUGAGUAACGCGUGAGUAACCUGCCUUCAAGAGGGGAAUAACAUUCUGAAAAGAAUGCUAAUACCGCAUGACAUAUCGGAACCACAUGGUUUUGAUAUCAAAGAUUUUAUCGCUUGAAGAUGGACUCGCGUCCGAUUAGUUAGUUGGUGAGGUAACGGCUCACCAAGACCGCGAUCGGUAGCCGGACUGAGAGGUUGGACGGCCACAUUGGGACUGAGACACGGCCCAGACUCCUACGGGAGGCAGCAGGGGGGGAUAUUGCGCAAUGGGGGCAACACUGACGCAGCAACGCCGCGUGAAGGAGGAAGGUUUUCGGAUUGUAAACUUCUUUUAUUAAGGACGAAAAAUGACGGUACUUAAUGAAUAAGCUCCGGCUAACUACGUG